GGGGGAGAGAGGUCAGUUGAACCUCUUCCUUCAGGUUGAUGAGGGGAGAGAGAUCAGUUGAACCUCUUCCUUCAGGUUGAUGAGAGAGGUCAGUUGAACCUCUUCCUUCAGGUUGAUGAGGGGAGAGAGGUCAGUUGAACCUCUUCCUUCAGGUUGAUGAGGGGAGAGAGGUCAGUUGAACCUCUUCCUUCAGGUUGAUGAGGGGAUAGAGGUCAGUUGAACCUCUUCCUUCAGGUUGAUGAGGGGAUAGAGGUCAGUUGAACCUCUUCCUUCAGGUUGAUGAGAGAGAUCAGUUGAACCUCUUCUUUCAGGUUGAUUAGGGGAGAGAGGUGAGUUGAACCUCUUCCUACAGGUUGAUGAGAGGUGAGAGGUCAAUUGAACCUCUUCCUUCAGGUUGAUGUGGGAUAGAGGUCAGUUGAACCUCUUCCUUCAGGUUGAUGAGAGGUGAGAGGUCAGUUGAACCUCUUCCUUCAGGUUGAUGAGGGGAGAGAGGUCAGUUGAACCUCGUCCUUCAGGUUGAUGAGAGGUGAGAGGUCAGUUGAACCUCUUCCUUCAGGUUGAUGAGGGGAUAGAGGUCAGUUGAACCUCUUCCUUCAGGUUGAUGAGAGAGAUCAGUUGAACCUCUUCUUUCAGGUUGAUUAGGGGAGAGAGGUCAGUUGAACCUCUUCCUACAGGUUGAUGAGAGGUGAGAGGUCAAUUGAACCUCUUCCUUCAGGUUGAUGAGGGGAUAGAGGUCAGAUGAACCUCUUCCUUCAGGUUGAUGAGGGGAGAGAGGUCAGUUGAACCUUUUCC
ensembl:lncRNA